UGGGGAAUAUUGCACAAUGGGCGAAAGCCUGAUGCAGCAACGCCGCGUGAGUGAUGAAGGUCUUCGGAUUGUAAAGCUCUGUCUUUUGGGACGAUAAUGACGGUACCAAAGGAGGAAGCCACGGCUAACUACGUGCCAGCAGCCGCGGUAAUACGUAGGUGGCGAGCGUUGUCCGGAUUUACUGGGCGUAAAGGGUGCGUAGGCGGAUGUUUAAGUGAGAUGUGAAAUACCCGGGCUUAACUUGGGUGCUGCAUUUCAAACUGGAUAUCUAGAGUGCAGGAGAGGAGAAUGGAAUUCCUAGUGUAGCGGUGAAAUGCGUAGAGAUUAGGAAGAGCACCAGUGGCGAAGGCGAUUCUCUGGACUGUAACUGACGCUGAGGCACGAAAGCGUGGGUAGCAAACAGGAUUAGAUACCCUGGUAGUCCACGCCGUAAACGAUGAGUACUAGGUGUAGGAGGUAUCGACCCCUUCUGUGCCGCAGU
rnacentral:rRNA from 1 species